GUUUAGCUUCUGUUUCCGCACACUGCUCAAGCUACUGAACAUGUUUGUGUUGAGUGAUUAAGUGGUGUUCUGGCAGAUCUUCUCCACGCCAGCCGUUGGUGGAUCACGUGCUCUCGUUCACGGUCGCAGACAGCAGGAUCUGGCUCAGGAGAAGCGCACCGCUGUGGCGUCCUUCACUCGAGCGCUGCUCUGUGAACGGCUGGCUCUGUUGUCUCCACAGAUCAUGGAAGAAGACGCGUCUCUGGUCGAGAUCAGCCCUCGUUUCGUCUUGAAUCUCAUCAGAACAUUCCAGGGCAGCUUCGGUGGACCCACGCUGUAUGAGAGCCCUCACUCACCGGCGGAUGAUCCGACAGAAGGAGAAGCGCAGAGAGCAGCAGGAGGUGUUCUGGACUCCAGCCGAGGCCACAGACACACAGAAGCAGCUCAGACGCACGCAGAUGAAGAAGAGAACGCAGAUGGAGCGCAAAGGCCUGCCAUAAGCUGUGGUGUUCACUCAUAAAACGUCCCUGUCACCACAGGUCUGCGUCGAUAUUAUAAUGAGCUCUGAUCCCAGAUCAGAGGUUCUGCUUCCUGAACAGUGUUUCUGUUGUUGUUCAGGUCGAGGAGCUGUGUUUCUGCUUCUUUUGUAAUGCAGUGCGAUCUUAAUAAACCUUUUAUUAAUGUUCAAAGACGUGUUGAUUUUGAUUUGCUUGUUAAGGUUAGUAGAAAAUACACAGGAUUAUCAAUGACGACCGUUUCAAGUAUUAAAACUUUGACAUGUUUAAAUGUUGAUGAGUUAAAUAUGGUGCGGUUAGAUUUCUUUACGAGUAGUUGCUCUUUACUAGAACAAACAUGGCUGCAAACACAUUGACAUAAGUUCACAGAGGUUUUAUUGGGCUCUUCCUGCAGUAGUUUGGUAGUAAAGUAAAGGCUUGGCGAGGCUUUAUUUCUCAGUCAUCGUAGUGAUUUAUUUCAGGUAUAGGAGGAGUGUGUGACAUGAGCUGCACGUAGGAAAUAUGUAAUGCUUUAAUGACAUU
rnacentral:lncRNA from 1 species